rnacentral:rRNA from 1 species
UACGAAGGGGGCUAGCGUUGUUCGGAUUAACUGGGCGUAAAGGGUGCGUAGGCGGGGUUUUAAGUCAGCUGUGAAAUCCCCGGGCUCAACCUGGGCACUGCAGUUGAAACUGGCAAGCUAGAGUAGGGUAGAGGGGUGUGGAAUUCCAGGGUGUAGCGGUGAAAUGCGUAGAUAUCUGGAGGAACAUCAGUGGCGAAGGCGACACCCUGGACUCAUACUGACACUGAGGUGCGAAAGCGUGGGGAGCAAACAGG